UACGAAGGGUGCAAACGUUGCUCGGAAUUAUUGGGCGUAAAGCGCACGUAGGCGGCUUGGCAAGUCGGGAUGUGAAAUCCCUCGGCUCAACCAAGGAAGUGCAUCCGAAACUGCUGAGCUUGAGUACUUAAGAGGAUCGCGGAAUUCCCGGUGUAGAGGUGAAAUUCGUAGAUAUCGGGAGGAACACCAGUGGCGAAGGCGGCGAUCUGGGGAAGAUACUGACGCUGAGGUGCGAAAGCGUGGGGAGCGAACAGG
rnacentral:rRNA from 1 species